UACGUAGGGGGCAAGCGUUGUCCGGAAUUAUUGGGCGUAAAGCGCGCGUAGGCGGCCCGUUAAGUCCGCUGUGAAAGCCCAGGGCUCAACCCUGGGAUGGCGGUGGAUACUGGCGGGCUCGAGUCCGGAAGAGGCGAGUGGAAUUCCUGGUGUAGCGGUGAAAUGCGUAGAUAUUGGGAGGAACACCAGUGGCGAAGGCGGCUCACUGGGCCGGUACUGACGCUGAGGCGCGAAAGCGUGGGGAGCGAACAGG
rnacentral:rRNA from 1 species